GAUGAAGAACGCAGCGUAAUGCGAUAAGUAAUGUGAAUUGCAGAAUUCAGUGAAUCAUCGAAUCUUUGAACGCACAUUGCGCCCGCCAGCAUUCUGGCGGGCAUGCCUGUUCGAGCGUCAUUUCAACCCUCGAGCCCCCCCGGGGGCCUCGGUGUUGGGGGACGGCACACCAGCCGCCCCCGAAAUGCAGUGGCGACCCCGCCGCAGCCUCCCCUGCGUAGUAGCACACACCUCGCACCGGAGCGCGGAGGCGGUCACGCCGUAAAACGCCCAACUUUCUUAGAGUUGACCUCGGAUCAGGUAGGAAUACCCGCUGAACUUAAGCAUAUCAAUAAGCGGAGGA
rnacentral:misc_RNA from 1 species